AACGAACGCUGGCGGCAGGCUUAACACAUGCAAGUCGAACGCCCGUAGCAAUACGGGAGUGGCGGACGGGUGAGUAACGCGUGGGAACGUACCCUGAGGUACGGAAUAACCGAGGGAAACUUCGGCUAAUACCGUAUGAGCCCCGCAAGGGGGAAAGAUUUAUCGCCUUGGGAGCGGCCCGCGUCGGAUUAGCUAGUUGGUGGGGUAACGGCCUACCAAGGCUUCGAUCCGUAGCUGGUCUGAGAGGACGAUCAGCCACACUGGGACUGAGACACGGCCCACGACUCCUACGGGAGGCAGCAGUGGGGAAUCUUGCGCAAUGGGGGCAACCCUGACGCAGCCAUGCCGCGUGAACGAUGAAGGCCUUAGGGUUGUAAAGUUCUUUUACCCGUGACGAUGAUGACGGUAACGGGGGAAUAAGCUCCGGCUAACUUCGUGCCAAGCAGCCGCGGUAAACUAGUCUACG
rnacentral:rRNA from 1 species